AGGACCAAUUAGAAAAUUGCUGUGAUUACUCAGUUAAUAAGUAUAGGCAGUGAUAAUUGAAAAAGAGGGAAAUGAUAUGAGAAAGUUUGUGGAAGUGAAAUCUUUAAUGAUUUAAUACCAUUGAGCUUAUGUGAAAGUACUAAAAACUCUUGAGGUUUUAUGUCUACGUGACCAGAAAAUAGAAAUAUAUGAGCUGGGACUUUAUGGGAGAAAGUUUUAGCAUUGGCCCUGUGAUGAUUUAGAUACGGAUGGGAAAUCCAAUAUAGAUGUCCAACGGUCAUUUCUUAUUUACUAAGCAAUGUCUAAUGUUUGGGGCACUGUUUAGGGUGAUGAGGAUACAGUGCUGGACAAAGCAGAGUAGGUAGUAAAUGUUGGUGAAUUAACUUUUAAAAGAUGACGAUGACUCUUGGCUUCUUGGGAGAACAAAUUGUAGGAGAGCAGGAGAAGCAGCAUGGAGACAGAUGAGAGCAAUGUGACGUGGACAGUGCUGGUGGCUGUGGAGAUGCAGAGACAUGAGUAAGUAAAUCAGCUGAAUACUUUAGAGGUAGACUUAGUAGGGCUUUGCAGUUGGAUUGGGGAGGAGACAUGAGAGAGAGGGUGUAAUCCAAGUUUUGGCUUGAGUGGGUACCUAGUGGUGCUGCUUACUAAUGAUGAAGACUGAGGGAGAAAAGGUAAUACCAACAUGGAGUUCAGGACAAAAAUUAGGCUAGAAACAUGUCACUGGGACUUGGUUUUCAUCAGGCAGAUGAGAGGAUGCAAUAUAUAGGAAGGAAACCAAGUUUAUGAGGAGCAAGAAGCAGCUGACUGCUCUGUGAAAUAGACUGAAAGAGGGGCCAGAGAACAAGCGUCUUACUAGAACCAGGGGCUUGGAUCAGGGCUGUUCAAGUUACCAGAUUUGGAGAAGAGAAUGAGGCUUGGCCAUGAAUGGGAAUUGCUUCAGUCACAAAUACCUGAAGCCAAGGCUGUGAAAGGCUUUGAAAUUUUAGCGGGAGAAUUAAAAGACAAAGGAAACACUGAAAGUCAGAGGGCCUGGCUCUCAGGCCAGCAGAGUCCAACCCGAGGAAAUAGAGACACUUUGCAUUACGUUUAUGCUUUCCAAAGCUUUAAAAAUAUGGAAAGCGAAUGGGAAGUAAUUAUUUAGGGCUAUUUUUUUCCCUAGCCAUUGUCCCAUCACCUUAAUCUCCCUAACUGAGGAUAUGUUUCUAAAGGUCUGCUUUCAUUUCUACAACUGAAAGGCUCCACUCUAUCCCUGAUAUUAACAUGUCAGCUCCACUCUUCUGGCUCAAGAAGUUAUUUUCCUUCUCUUCCCUUUAUGCUGCCAUUAACAUUUGAACAUAACUUGAUUAUUUUAGAAGAAGAAACAGACAAUAAAGGUAGCCACUGAUGUUGCAGCAGGGGUUGCCACACCGACGUCUGGGAAGAGGCCAAGAAGGAGGCAGCUUCUCAGUUCUGUUGCCACCCUCACCCCCCAGGAGAGAAACCCGAGUCAGUGAAUCACUCUGGGAGAUGCCCUUUGGUCUAAAACCCACCUUCCGUCUUUCCAUCCUGACUUAGAAACUGCCCUGAAGUUGAGGCAGCUGAGGGGGAAAUUUGUAGAUAUUAAAUGCUGACACAGGCUUUUUCUCAUGUCUGAGCACACACACACACAGCUCUGUGUCGCUGAGAUUUCAGGCGCUGUCUACUUGGCUAGGAAUACUGGCUGGAUUCUUCUCCUGUUAGGUCCCAUGUCUGAUCUUUACCAAUCCAAGAGUUACUUUUUUCUCCCAAAACAACGUCCACAUACAUAUCUGCAUAGCACUUCACAUUUUGCUUCUCUUUUUAACUAUUCUUAGUUUGAGGUCAAUGAAGAGUAGCAGAGGUACAGGGCAGUGAUCUGGGGAUGAGUUGGGAUUUACUGUUGUGCCUUCACAGAGCUCUGACCUGAGGCCAGAUCAGAGCUGGAAGUUGAGCAAGUUUAUAAGAAGGGACAUAUUGAGGGUGGGGUAGCAGCCUAGAAGCAUAUGUGCUAUGAAGUCAAAGAAGACACCUGUGUGAUCCCGAGCCUUCCCUAAAGCAGCUCACAGAGAAGAAUCUGGGAAGUGGAGGGACUUAGGGCUUAUGUAGUCCACCCUCUACCUGAAGGACUCACUCCUAAGCCUGCUUGCUACUUCUUGGGAUCUUUGCCUCAGGUCAAAGAACAGGUAAGAGAACAUCACGGGCUUUGGAGUCUGACAAACUGGGUUCAACUCCUACAGCCAUGCCUUACUGGCUUUGUGACUCUGGGGAAGUUAGUUAACCUUCCAAGCCUCCUUUUCCCGUCUGUAAAAUUAUAUCCUACCUAGGCUGGGCGUGGUGGCUCAUGCCUAUAAUCUGAGCACUUUGGGAGGCUAAGGCAGGAGGCUUGCUUGAGCCCAGGGGUUCAAGACCAGUCUGGGCAACAUAGCAAGACCCUGUCUACAAAAAACAAAACAAAACAAAACAAAAAAAAAAAAAAAA
ensembl:lncRNA